rnacentral:misc_RNA from 1 species
UCUCCGUUGGUGAACCAGCGGAGGGAUCAUUACCGAGUUCCAGCAACUCCCAACCCUUGCGAACCGUACCCCAGUCUGUUCUCGUUGCUUCCGGCAGGCGGGGGGGGCAACCUGGCCCCUCCCCCUGCCGGGAGCGGCGGCCCCUCCGAACAUUUAUAUCUCAACCACUGAAACCCGUCUGAGCAAAACAAAAGAUAAUCAAAACUUUCAACAACGGAUCUCUUGGCUCUG